AUUAAGUUGUAUGAGCUCUUUAUAUAUUUUGGAUAUCUUCUCAAAUACAUGAUUUGCAAAUAUUUUCUCCCUUUCUGUAGUUUUCUUUUUCAUUUAUUGCUUGCUUGCUAUACUGAAGAUUUUUAGUUUGAUAUAGUCCCACUUGUUUAUUUUUGCUUUUGUUGCCCUUGCUUUUGGUGUCAAAUCCCAAAAAUCAUCAGCUUACUGACUAUGUUUCCUUCUAAGAGUUUAUGGUUUCAAGUCUUACAUUUAAGUCUCUAAUCCAUCUUAAUUUUUUGUGCAUGGUGUAAGAUAAUGGUCUGAUUUCAUUCUUUUGCAUGUUCUGUACAGUUUAAAUUAUCUUAAAGAACCCACCAUGAUUCCUUCAUUCAGUGUCUCUGUCACUUGAACACAGAAUUUUUAUUCACAAUUAUAUCUGCACCACCUAAAAUUGUUUUUGAAAUCCACUUAAAAGGAAAAAUGAUUAUUUAAUUAAAUUUUAUCAAUGAAAGAAACUCAUAUCUAUGUUUUUACACUUAUUCUUCCACCCCUACUUCCUAGGCAAGUUUGUUCAUGACCCCAGCUUUCUCCUUCCAACAGUGGAUGUGGCUAAAAUUUUAUAAAUAGAAUGCUACACUAUUGGGUCUGGUCACUAUUCCUUUUUAAGAGAAGGGAGAUGUAGGCUCAGUUGCAGACUAUGUUGCAGAGCAUACAAAUUUUGUGCCAGUUCUACCAGUUUAAGUCUGUGGUCAUGUCUCAGAACUUUUACAGUGCUUUAUCUUAAUGUCCAUCUCCAUUAAAGCAGGCCUAGCUUUUGACUGGUCCAACUUCCACAAGGCUUUUCCAUUGGAAGCUGGGACAUAUCUAUCAUUACUUUAUCUUCCUAAACCUACUCUAAGGAGUAGAGAUCUACAAACUAUUGGCCCAGAUGAUUAAAAAUACAAAUUUAGAAAAAUCUAAACAUUUUAUGGUCAAGUUAUGCCAACCUAUAUCCAUGUGGUAGAUUCUGGGUAUAUAAAGAUGAGUCAGAUCCAAAAUGACAUCCGCCUGGAUGGAACUUAAAAUGUAAAGCACAUAACUUAGAUUCAGGGUAUAGUUUGUACCAAAGAAGAAAAGAAUCAACAUUUCAUUUGAGUAGAGUUGGUGUCACUUGUCUCUUUUUCAAAGAGAUAACCACAGCAAUCUGAAAAAUUAUUUAUUUGGAUUGAUAAUUUGUCCUUCUCUUUCCUUCUAGUAUUCCAGAGCAAGUUAAUUACACAGUGAAACUGAAAUUUCAUGAACACAGAAAUAAUUUAUUCAACAGAAUGUAUUUAUUGAAUGUCUAGGCUAUGCCAGAUACUGUUUUAAGUGGUGGAGAUAUAAUCAUGAAUAAAAAUUCUGUUUCAAGUGACAGAGACACUGAAUGAAGGAAUCAUGGUGGGUGGUGUGGUGAAGUUUAUAAAGUAGAGAAAGGGAGUGCUAAGGGAUCAGGAGAGGGCUAUUUUAUAUAGGAUGGGUGUGAAAGACCUCUUUUACAUGGUUGCAUUUGAGCCAAGAACUAAAGAUGUAGAGAGAAAGCUAUGAUGAGGACAGAACAUCCUAGACAGGGAACAGGGAGGACAGGAGCCCUGAGGUGACAGUGUGCCUGGCCUGAUGGAGAUGAUUGUAAAACUCCAGUUCAUGCCCAUGGACCUGGGUGCGGGGGAGGUGGUAGGAAGUUGUCAAAUUAUAUAACAAAAAUAAUACCAUUUACAGCAACAUUGAUGGAGCUAGAGAUUAUCAUACUAAGAGAAGUCAGUCAGAAAGUGAAGGACAAAUACCCUAUGAUAUCACGUGUGGAAUCUAAAAUAUGGCACAAAUGAACCUAUCUAUGAAACAGAAACAGACUCCCAGACUGUUGAACAGACUCGUGGUUGCUGAAGCGGGGUCAAGGAGGGAUCGACUGGGAGUUUGGGGUUAGUGGAUACAGGCUAUUACAUAUGGAAGGGAUAAACAACAAGAUCCUAGACAGCACAGGGAACUAUAUUCAAUAUCCUGAGAUAUACCAUAAUGGAAAAGAAUAUAAAAAAGUAUGUAUAUGCGUGUAUAACUGAAUCACUUUGCUGUACAGUAGAAUUCACAACAUUUGUCUAAGUCAACUAUAUUUCAAUAAUAAAAAAUCCUGAAAUUGAUUUGUUCAUCAUCCUCCAAAAAAGAAAAGAAAAAUCUCUAAACAGUAGCAUCACAAUUAGUACGAUGAAACAGAGGAAGAAAGAAUCUUGUCGUGUCUCCCAUCUCCCACUCCUUUGGGGUGUGUGUUCAUGGAGAGUAGUGACAGGCAGAGCUGCACACACUAUUUCUACCCUUGUUCUCUUUGUAGUUAUUAUGUGUGAUACAUGUGUGAAUGAAGCAACAUCUUACUAGAAUGACAGAGCUGGAAGUAGGAAAAAAUAUAACAAAGUGUACGGCGUGCACAGUACAAUUUCUAUAUAGAUCAUUUCUUGUUUGAUUACAUUUUAUACUUAUAAUGUUUUUCAUUUGGUGGUGGACUAGACAAAAACCCCUUGACAAUGUUGAAAUUUCCCCAAGCCCUCUGCUACUGGAAAAUAGCAGUAGUUAAGAAAUCACUCCACACUUCUGUGUUGUGGAGGUGGCUCACUGUGAAGAACUAGACUUCCCUGUAUGACUUAGAAAAGAUUUUCAGGUGUUUUUUCCCCUGUCCCCCUUCCUUGUUUACAAGGCCAGAGACAGACCUUCCAAAUUCUCAUUCUUUGUCUUAUUAAUGACUAGUAGGCUUUUUGCCCCCACCAUCCAAUCUGGGCAAAAUACUCAUUAACUUAACUUGAGGAUACUAAUCAGACCUCCCUUCCCAUAGACCCCAGGACACUGACUCAACCUUCAGCAAGCAUGAGAAAGGAGAACAGCACCUCCUUAAUGGUCCCUACUGAGAGCUGGCUGACCUCAGAGAAAAACAUUCCUGAUGAGCUAUCCAAGGUCACCAUCUCCUUAACCCCCACCCCUGCAUCACAAACACACACACCCAGCUCUUUCUAACCUUGUUUGCUCUUCCCUACAACAGAUGAAUCUUUCCACCUGUCUUUUGGGAGGAUUUCAGAUCUUAUGAAGGGGGUCUUCUCUCUACAGCAGUAGUCCCCACUGCUGUUGUAAUCCUCUCCUUCCCCAAAUGGCAACAGCAGUUUUUGAAUCACAUCUCUCCUUGUCUAAGUCCAAUUUCUUUUCCACCUGACAACCUUUAUUAAUUAGUAGUUUUUUAUUGUCUGUUUGUAUAUUCCUCCAUUUAUAGAACAACUUUUUAUUCAGUCUGUCCUCUGUGGACAUUCUCAGGUAUAAAGCAGUGAACAAAACAGAGUUCCUUCUCUAUGGAGCUUACAUUCUAGUUUGGGGAGGCAGCUAAAUAAGUGAAAUAUUUAAUAAAUCAGAUGGUUCUUUGGGCUAUGGAGAAAGUGAAAUCUAGCAAGAGAGAGAUGUUUUGGGUUGAGAGGGUUACAUUCUUUAGUAAAGUGGUUGGGGGUGUAUUUAGGUUAUUUAUACUUUUUAGAGCUGAAAGUGAGGACAUUAUGUCUCUAAUUCUGAAGUCUAUAAAUGGUAAUCAUUGAGAUUUCUGAAUGCAAGUGACACUCAAAACUGAGUAAGGAAGGCCCCUGAUCAUUUGGAGAAAUUUAUUUAUGUUUGAUUAGUUUGUUUCAAAUCAAGUUCAUGGAAGUGGUGGAGUUAAGAUGUAUGAUUUCCAGACUAAAGUUCUGGAAGAUGUAGGGCUGUUUUCAAGCUGAUAUAUCCAGGACAAAUUCUUAUUCCCAAUACCUCAGGCUGGUGUUGGACUAGCAAUAAAAGCAGCUGUUAAUGGAUCAUCUCCACCCAGUUUUUCAUCAUUUUCUUUUUGAUUUUAUGACUCCUAAAAAAGACUCUGCUCUGGUCAAUCACCAACAACCCAAAAUAAAGAUCCUUUAUAUUUUUGGAAGUUAUGCAUCCUAGGAUUUUCUUGAGUCAAUUUUUUGAAGUCAAAGUUUUGCAGGGUUUUGACAGUGUUUUGUAGUAGCAUUGUAACUUACAUAAGUAAAACACUCCCUUUUAAAUGCUUUGUGUUAUGUGUUUGUCAGAUUCUGAGACCGUUUAUAAACAUUUUUAAAAAAAUGACACUGUGACUCAGUACAGGCUAAGUGCUUUUGUUUCAUAUAAGCAAAAUGGCUAAAAAUUUGAAGGCUCAGUAGUCAUACUUAUGAAUUAAUUGAGAUUAUUUAUAAUCAGCACUUGGUAUUUCCUCAACAGACAGCUAUCUGUAAGCAGACAGUAUAAAUCAAAUGAAGACAUAAGGAUUGAUUAUGUCCAAUGUUCCCCAGACUGACACAAUGAAUCCCAAGGCAACAUUAACCAUUAUUUAUUUCUUUUAUAAAGCCCAAGAAAAUAGCCCAGGUGAAGCCUAGGUAUUUUUCCCCAUUAUAUCUGCCCCAACAUAUUCCAUCAGUAUCUAAUAAAUAUCUCAUAACUGGCUUUAAAAUUAUACUGCAGAGCUUUCAAAUGGGUAGCACUCAGAACAAAAUGGAUAAAUUGGAAAGCUUAUAUCAAAUCUAGUAGUUGAUCCUCUGGUACAAAUGCUUGGAGAUGCAGCCACUUCAACUCCCCAGAUACUUUUAAGGUAGCUAGCUAGUAUUUAAACUCACUCUGGCAUUAUUUCCCAGACCACUCAAGAAGCAAUAAUACAAGGUAAUCACUAAGUUAUUGCAUCUUGCUCCUCCCCCAAAUAAUAGUAAAUUAUGAAAACUGUUGAAAUUGUUCAAUAUUGUCCAGUUCAAGCUGUCCAUGAAUGAUGGUUAUGUGUGUUAAUGCCUAUCAAUAAACUAGAGCGUUAUAGGGUAGCUUUUUACUCUUGGUGCACUUGUAACCAAUAAGUAUAACACUUGAGCUUAACCUGAUAUGCUAAGGUAUUAAUAAUAGGGAGUGGCAGCAGGAAUAAUACUACUUUUAUUAUAAAAAGCGAAUUUCAAAUUAUGUUUUUGAUUUUCCUAUGUUAUUCACAUAAAAGUCAGAUUCAAACAUGGGGAACUUCUCAUUUUUUGUUUUGCUAUCUUCCUCUCUUUAGAAAUACACAUAAAUCAUCACAUUUUUCAACUUAGCUCACCACCCUUGUUGGAAUCUAUAUGGUUACUUAAGGAAGGCAGAUGUUAGUAUGUCGAUUGCUGAGCAGACGAGCAGGUUUUAAUUGGCUUAUUUGAUUCAGUAUCCAAAAGACUUAAAAAAAUUCUCGACUAUAACUUCAAGUAUUUCAAUUAUUUAGGCAAUCAAUGGGAUUAUCUUCUGGGCAAUUGACCAAUUGAACAGUUAUCAACCUGGAAAACAAUUAAAGCUUCAAGUGGUCAAAUAUUGACUGUGCAGCCAUGCCUUUAUUAGAGUAUGACUUGAAAUUAAAAUUGCACUAAAUCAUUCACUGGUUGAUGGAUUUCAUGGAGAUCUGAGCCCUCCACAUGGUUUCCCAAAGGUUAGGAUUAAGAGAGAGGAAUAUUGCUCAUAUUCACUAAUUCUAGAGACUAAUACACUGUCAAAGAUGUGGUAUGUGACACGGUUUGGAGCACAGUUAGCUGCAUCUAAAGUGAACUGCUUUUCUGUCGUUUUCAAAGAGAAUGGAUUUUACUAAAAGCAGAUGCUUGCAUUCCACCUGCUUUUGCUAAUUGCUGCAAUUUUCAGUGGUUUCUCACUGGAAUGGCUGUUGUUUGCAUUGCUGAUACAACCAGCUUGCCAUUGGAAAAUCUGCCAUAGCAGAUUAAACUCCUAGCAGUGCACACAUUUAUUUAUUCAUUCAGCAACAAUUAUUGAGGUCCUAUGCAGUGAGAAAACUGUGGUGGAUACUGGGGAUAAAAUUAUAAAGAAGACUCUAUCCUAAAGGAGAUUUCUGUAUAGUAUGACAUAUAAAUAAGUGAACAUUUACAGCCGAGUAUAACAAUUGCUAUUGGAAAUAUAAGGGUCAAGACAUAUGGGAGCUAAUUUCAAGGGCCACCCAACCAAUCUUAAUUAAGGAGGACUUCUCAGAAGAAGUUGUCUCUAAGCUGGCUGAUAAAAGGAAAAAAAAAAAAAAGUAGAAGUUAAUCAGUCAGAAGUGGGGAUAUGGAAGAGUGUUUUUUACCCUGAAAGCCCACUGUGUGCAAAGUUCCUUACUUGAGAGGGAGCACAGGCUUGUCUUAGAAAAAUUGCCCAUCAUGUCAAGAUCAUAGAGUUUGGGUCUAAAGAGUACCUGGGGCCACGUGACAAAGGGUGUUGUCAGAUAUAAAAAGCAUGUGGAA
rnacentral:lncRNA from 1 species